rnacentral:rRNA from 1 species
GAUGAACGCUGGCGGCGUGCCUAAUACAUGCAAGUCGAGCGAACGGACGAGAAGCUUGCUUCUCUGAUGUUAGCGGCGGACGGGUGAGUAACACGUGGAUAACCUACCUAUAAGACUGGGGUAACUUCGGGAAACCGGAGCUAAUAACGGAUAAUAUUUUGAAACGCAUGGUUCAAAAGUGAAAGACGGUCUUGCUGUCACUUAUAGAUGGAUCCGCGCUGCAUUAGCUAGUUGGUAAGGUAACGGCUUACCAAGGCAACGAUGCAUAGUCGACCUGAGAGGGUGAUCGGCCACACUGGAACUGAGACACGGUCCAGACUCCUACGGGAGGCAGCAGUAGGGAAUCUUCCGCGAUGGGCGAAAGCCUGACGGAGCAACGCCGCGUGAGUGAUGAAGGUCUUCGGAUCGUAAAACUCUGUUAUUAGGGAAGAACAUAUGUGUAAGUAACUGUGCACAUCUUGACGGUACCUAAUCAGAAAGCCACGGCUAACUACG